AAAGAACAGAGGUGCACAUGUUUAAGGAAAAGGACAGUUGUGUUAAAAAAGCAGCAGAAAAGUCCUGUAUUUUUAACUAUAAGCCACCAUUUGCAUCAUCAUCAAACCUUCUGUCAUGUCAUCUACAAAUGGCUCAAGGUGAGGUCAAAGCACAUCUGUCUGAGUCAUUUAUGGAACCUUCUCAGGCGCAUGCAGUGUUGGAACAAUCCCUGUUCUGACCAAGGAGAUGUUUCAGUUGCAAGAACCAGUGCUAGUCCAGCCCGUGUGCCACUUGUGUGCUUUGUCAACAUGCACAAUGAGGAGACAGACAUCGCCUGACAUGUCCACUGUCAAUACAUGGAGCUGGCUAACGCAGCGGCAGAGAUUCUGAGCUUGCUGCAUGAUGCAUCCACAAUGAAGUCAAAGCUGUACAGACAAGAGAAUGACGCUCUUGGGUCUGCUGGAAAAGGAGUCCGGGGGCAACAUGAAAUGAGACCGUGGCUGAAAAGAGCCAAGUGUGGCUCGGGGGAAGAACAGAUGAAGCAAAUUUAUUUAAAAGAAAAACUCCAUCUAAGUGACAGAGAGAGUCUCCGUCUGGUUUUGACUACGCAGUAUUCUCAGGGUUGCUCUGGUUAUGCAGAAGGACUGAAUUCCUUUCCCAGCUCCUAGCUGAUGAGGUAAUCUGGGCAAGUCAUUUCAUUGGUGAAUCAAUGAAGUAAGGAUACCAAGAGAGAGCUGAAAUAUCCAAUACUACUUCAUCCUCAGUUUGUGAUUGACGUGCUAUUAAUGGUGUUGGUGAAAUGAAAUGCUAAAUGAUUUAAACUGAUGGGAUUCUUGUUUAUUUGAAGGGCUCAAUAAACUCCAGCCUUUUUACUCCAACUCUAUAA